GAUGAACGCUGGCGGCGUGCCUAAUACAUGCAAGUCGAGCGAACAGACGAGGAGCUUGCUCCUCUGACGUUAGCGGCGGACGGGUGAGUAACACGUGGAUAACCUACCUAUAAGACUGGGAUAACUUCGGGAAACCGGAGCUAAUACCGGAUAAUAUAUUGAACCGCAUGGUUCAAUAGUGAAAGACGGUUUUGCUGUCACUUAUAGAUGGAUCCGCGCCGCAUUAGCUAGUUGGUAAGGUAACGGCUUACCAAGGCAACGAUGCGUAGCCGACCUGAGAGGGGGAUCGGCCACACUGGAACUGAGACACGGUCCAGACUCCUACGGGAGGCAGCAGUAGGGAAUCUUCCGCAAUGGGCGAAAGCCUGACGGAGAAACGCCGCGUGAGUGAUGAAGGUCUUCGGAUCGUAAAACUCUGUUAUUAGGGAAGAACAAAUGUGUAAGUAACUAUGCACGUCUUGACGGUACCUAAUCAGAAAGCCACGGCUAACUACGUG
rnacentral:rRNA from 1 species